rnacentral:rRNA from 1 species
GAACGACGCUGGCGGCGCGUCUUAAACAUGCAAGUCGAACGAUCUGUAGCAAUACGAGGGAGUGGCGGGACGGGUGAGGAACACGUAGGAAUCUACCUAGAAGAGCGGGACAACCUUGGGAAACCGGGGCUAAUACCGCAUAGUACAGUGAUGUUAAAGGGCUAGCAAUAGUCGCUUCUAGAUGAGCCUGCGGUCUAUCAGCUUGUUGGCGGGGUAACGGCCCACCAAGGCUACGACGGAUAGCCGGUCUGAGAGGAUGAUCGGCCACACUGGCACUGAGACACGGGCCAGACUCCUACGGGAGGCAGCAGUUAAGAAUCUUGCGCAAUGGACGAAAGUCUGACGCAGCGACGCCGCGUGAAGGAUGAAGGCUUUCGGGUUGUAAACUUCGGUAGACUGGGAAGAAAAAGUAAGUUCGUUGAGGGCUUACAUUGACGGUACCAGUCUGAAGCCCCGGCUAAUUACGUG